CCUGUGUGGCUGAGACUUGGCUGCACGGCCAAGCGUAAGGGUGGCAGGCUCGGGCCUGGCACUUGAGCCUGACAAGUGCGCACCACCUGCUGUCGAGGUACAGCUGCACUUAGCUUACAAAAAAACCCGUUACCUUUCAGUAAGAAAGGCCUGUGCCGCAAUGAAAACAAACCAAACUGGCUAAUAAGAAAACGAAAACACCUCCCUUACACGAGGAAAUGUAUGCCAACAUCGAAUCGGCCUGAAAUAAGCCGAGUGCAACCCCUCUUUCCUUUGAAUUUGCACUUUUGUUCAGGCAAGGCUGCUGGGAGCUCAACAUCGCAAUAUCAAAGAGAGGGACAGCACAUGUGCGCUACAAAGUUGCAUUGGUAAUUUUAACAAGCAAAGGUAAGCAAGAAAAUAAAAUCUUAUGUUUGCCUUAAGAAUGUGAUCCUGAAAGAAUGAAGUUAUACUGUGUAAAUAACAGCAGUCAUUUGGUGAAAAAAAAAAGACAGGCCUUUGCAUAAGAGAAACCACAAAUCUAUUGCAUGGACAAACGCUUUGUGCGCAAUAUUGCUUUCAUGGGUCUUCAAGAGGUUAGCGGAACAAAAACAAAGAAAAGGAAGCAAUCAGCAACUAUAAGAAGCACACAGUAAGUCAUUAUUGACACAUACUUUAACACCAUCAGCUUUCAUGUGGUGGCAAAAUGUGAUUUCUUCAACACCACAUUUGCAAAGAAAUUGUCAAAGAUCCGAAAAUCAAUACAGAAAUUCAUACAGGAGCUAAAAUUUCAGACAGAGCUUAGGAGCUGCAGUGACGUUUUAUGGGUGGAAGAAAAAAAUUGCAUGUGAACUAAUCUUACAAGUGUCAGUCCAGCCUGAUGGCUUCAAGUGACGUUCUUAAUAGCACGAACGAUAAAGCCAAGCAAUAACAAUAGUGCACAUCUCUAAUUUGAAAGCGAGGCUGUGUGUAUAUAUAUAGAUAUAUAUGUAUAUACCACAUUACAAAAUCUUAACCAUUCUCCCCUUCGGCUGUUAUUCCAAACAUCUACAGGAAUGCACCUCGUGACAUAGACACCGACAUGACAAUUGGAGACAUAAGCACUUGCACACUGCCCUACAACAAGUGGCUCAGUUGAAAAAUAUGCAGCGCUUGCUAAAGUGUUAAGCUGGUGCAUGCAGUGCGUGGAAUGCAACUGCAUACCCAACUCCCAUCCCAAAACAUGACCAGAUGCAGCAAAGCACUAAACGAAACAGUAAAAAAAAAAACAAUAAAAUAACACUUCCAACCUUUCCUUUCCGUUACUCCGCCAAGGGACUUCAAGGAACCAUGAUUGUUAAGCCUAAACCAGAUCGUGUAGAUUGCCUUCAUCGCACUCGGAGUGGGUGCAAAACAAAAGACGACACUGUCUGUCACCUCCCCCCACUGCCAGGCUUUGCACGCGGCACGCAUGCUUUGUCGGCGGCAGGUGUUGUGGCCACCAGACGUGCAGAAAGAGUGGAGAAGGGGAGAGAGAGAAAAACAGAUGGAAGAGCAAAAAAUGACAGAUGAAUUGAAGAAGAGAGGUAAAUCCACCUGCAGCGAGGGCAUAGAAAGGGCCUAACACAACACAAAUGGCAGAGACGAGAGUGAAUAACCCAGCACUGAAGGAAGACAAAGAAGAAAGAAAAAAAGAGAGAUAGACAAUGAAACUGGAGAAUGUCAAAAUGCAAUGUGAGGCCACCUGUGUGACAGGAAGAGCGAGGAAAAGAAACAAAGAAAAAGGGACAGGCUGGACGUACAAGGCUACAAAGUUGACGCAGAAUGAACGAAAAGCAACACCCUGCUCCUGUGGCUCGCGUGUGGUGGAAAAAUUUUCAGAAGCCCCCUCCGCUGGCAAAUCUUCUACGCCUCUGCUUUGAUAUGAGGAACAGAGCCACCUUUUGCAUAACAGCUGCACUCCAAGGUAAACAUAUGUGGGACUCUUCACUGUCAUGGCUGAGUGGAUGCCAAGGUGGAAAAAAUAAACAGCAUUGCACUGAGA